rnacentral:rRNA from 1 species
UAGGGAAUUUUCCACAAUGGGCGAAAGCCUGAUGGAGCAACGCCGCGUGCAGGAUGAAGGCCCUUGGGUCGUAAACUGCUUUUAUAUGUGACGAUAAUGACGGUAGCAUAUGAAUAAGGAUCGGCUAACUCCGUG